ACUCCUCAUUACACCAUCGAAAACCCCUCUGUUUCUUCAACUCACCUUAAUUUGCCCAAUUGAGUCAUUGUAAAAUCUGAAACAGAACCAAGAGAGAAGAGAAAAAAAAUAUGGGUUCAACAAGCCAGAGCCAGAGUAAGAGUCUAACUCACACAGAAGACGAAGCGUUCUUAUUUGCCAUGCAAUUGGCUAGUGCUUCUGUACUUCCUAUGGUCCUAAAAUCAGCGUUAGAACUUGACCUUCUUGAACUCAUGGCUAAAGCUGGUCCAGGUGCAGCCAUUUCUCCUUCUGAAUUAGCUGCUCAGCUCUCAACCCAGAACCCAGAAGCACCCGUUAUGCUUGAUCGGAUGCUUAGGCUACUUGCUACUUACUCUGUUCUCAAUUGUACUCUUAGAACACUGUCUGAUGGCAGUGUUGAGAGGCUUUAUAGUCUGGCUCCGGUUUGUAAGUUCUUGACUAAGAAUGCUGAUGGUGUUUCUGUUGCCCCACUUUUGCUUAUGAAUCAAGAUAAAGUUCUUAUGGAGAGCUGGUACCACUUAAAAGAUGCAGUACUAGAUGGUGGAAUCCCAUUCAACAAGGCCUAUGGAAUGACAGCAUUUGAGUACCAUGGCACAGAUCCAAGAUUCAACAAAGUUUUCAACCGUGGAAUGUCUGAUCACUCCACUAUGUCAAUGAAAAAGAUUCUUGAGGACUACAAAGGAUUUGAAGGCCUAAAUUCCAUUGUUGAUGUUGGUGGUGGAACUGGCGCUACUGUUAACAUGAUUGUCUCCAAACAUCCCUCUAUUAAGGGUAUUAACUUUGAUUUACCACAUGUUAUUGGAGAUGCUCCAGCUUACCCUGGUGUCGAGCACGUUGGUGGCGACAUGUUUGCCAGUGUGCCAAAAGCAGAUGCCAUUUUCAUGAAGUGGAUUUGUCAUGAUUGGAGCGACGAGCAUUGCCUAAAAUUCUUGAAGAAUUGCUAUGAAGCACUACCUGCAAAUGGGAAGGUGAUAAUAGCGGAGUGCAUACUUCCAGAGGCCCCAGAUACAUCACUUGCAACUAAGAAUACAGUACAUGUUGAUAUUGUGAUGUUAGCACAUAACCCAGGAGGCAAAGAAAGGACUGAGAAGGAAUUUGAGGCUUUGGCUAAGGGCGCUGGUUUUACUGGAUUCCGCAAGGCUUGUUGCGCUUACAACACUUGGGUCAUGGAAUUCAACAAAUAAUUAAUCGAUUCCUUUGGAGGAUUAAGCAAUAUACUGUUCAUUUUGCAUUUUGAAAUUCUACUUUUCACAGAGUGGCUUUACUGCGAAAUAAAAGAAAUAUAUAGCUUUUACCUUGAAAAGAUCAAUGUUCAAAGGGAAAAAAAAAAAAGGAAGAUGAAAUAAUUGCUCUCAGAAAAGCAGUGUGUUAGGAAAAAGCUUUUUAGCUGGAUUUUGAAUUUUAUUGUAUGUAUUUCUGUAAUACACAUGUAUUGAAGGAAUACUAGUUUUCGACCAAUCAUAUUUCUUUGAGA